AACGGCCAUACCAUGCUGAAUUUACCGGUUCUCGUUAGAUCACCGAGCAUCAUUGGGCGCGGUCAGUACUUGGGUGGGUGACCACCUGGGAACACCGCGUGCCGUU
rnacentral:rRNA from 1 species